GACGAACGCUGGCGGCGUGCUUAAUACAUGCAAGUCGAACGGAAAGGCCCUGCGUUUGUGGGGUGCUCGAGAGGCGAACGGGUGAGUAACACGUGAGUAAACUGCACUUGACUUUGGGAUAACUUCAGGAAACUGGGGCUAAUACCGGAUAGGAGCUCCUGAUGCAUGGGGGGGGUUGGAAAGUUUCGGCGGUUGGGGAUGGACUAGCGGCUUAUCCGCUGGAUGGUGGGGUAGUGGCGUACAAAGGCUUUGAAGGGUAGGCGGCCUUGGAGGGGGACCGGCCUCCUUGGUCCUGCGAGACGGCCCAGUCUCCUAUGGUCGGCAGCGGGCGGGAACAUGGCACAACGGGCCGGCGCCUGAUGCGACAGCCCCGCGUUCGUGAUGACCUCCUUCUGGUUGUAAACCGCUUUCUCCUUUGACGAAGCGUGCGUGACGGUAAUGGGUAAAGAAGCACCGGCUAACUACGUG
rnacentral:rRNA from 1 species